rnacentral:rRNA from 1 species
UACGUAGGGGGCAAGCGUUGUCCGGAUUUAUUGGGCGUAAAGAGCGUGUAGGCGGUUAGGUAGGUCCGGUGUGAAAACUCGAGGCUCAACCUCGAGACGCCGAUGGAAACCCUCCAGCUAGAGUCCGGAAGAGGAGAGUGGAAUUCCUGGUGUAGCGGUGAAAUGCGCAGAUAUCAGGAAGAACACCCGUGGCUAAGGCGGCUCUCUAGUACGGUACUGACGCUGAGACGCGAAAGCGUGGGGAGCGAACAGG